ACUUUUAAUGUGGUAUUAACACAUAGAUAACAGGUGCUAUUGGUCAUCAAACAUGUCUCUUCUUUUUGUUAAUGUAUGAUCUAAAGCAAUUCCGUUGUCUAAAAAUGUAAUAGUUAUAAGAGGAGACCUUUAAAAAGUAAGGUUGCAGUUACCAGCUGCCAGCAGACAUUAUUUAGAGAACGGCUGGUGGCAUCCAAGUCUGACACAGCUCAGAAAACUCAAGUUCUUAGCAAUACAGGGACUUGCCUGAAAUCACACCCACAGUGUCUAGUUAUUUUCUUGGAUGUCUAAACCAUAGCUACUCCAUUUUUACUUUUAAUUGUAAUAUUCCCCUUAAUAGCCAAAGCAGUUGUCGCCAUUAAUGAUGUUAGUGUUUCUCUAGGUAUGAGAAGAUGCAAGAAUCUGGGCCCAUAAAAUCUUCUCCUGAAAAUAUCUAUCUAUAUCUAUCUGAAGACCUGUUCUGCCAGUUUUUCCCAGGGCACAGAGUGCCUCAUUCCUGUUCUCCACUCUGAACUCCUUUUCAGGGGGUGUUGAAGGUCAGCAGCUGCAGCAGCUCAUGAUUUAAUCUUUGUAGAGGCAGACAGCAAGUGCCAAUGGCGAGCGCCAAUUUCCAGUCAGCAGGGCUCCUUCGUGGUCAUAAAUUUGACCAUGGAUUGGGGGGCAUUUCAUGACCAUUUCAUUCCACAGUGCUAGGAAUGCUCAUUCCCAGGCCUAGCAAAGUGUUUUCAGAGUUUAAGAAGUUUAAAUCUUAUUCUGUAGAAUAGUAUAGCCAAAAAUUUUAAAACAAUAAAGCAGAAAACAUAACCACCCCACUGGUCCUGUAACGUAAAACCUUUAAUUCUCAGUUCAUAUGCAACAGUAUUAUCUAGGUUCACAGUAAGGACAUUGGUAGAUACUGGUGCCUACCUUGAGAUUGACAUAGCAUUACUAAAAAUCUAAGUUUACACUUUGACCAAAUUCAGGACAUUCACAUUAAUUUGAAAAGCCAAAAAUAAAACAUACUACACAGCAGGCUGCACCUGAUAAUGAAACACUUUAUUCUGCAUCAAGGUAUCUGGAAAAUGAAGCUGCAUUUGGGGCACAUUACAGAUGAGGAAUGAUCCAUAUGUGUGUAUACAAAUAUUGGAUCACCUGAAAAUGUUGUACAUCAGUUAUACCUCAAUUUAAAAAUUUACCAAAAAAGAUGAGUUUAAUUGAAUCACCAAAAAAGAGGACAAGAUGCUCUACUAGACCAAGGAAAAGAAAUCAACAGGAUGUUGUGACACACUGCAGGCCUUAAUACAGCUGUCAGUCUAAUGAAGAUUCCCUUGGGGCUCUGUAAGCAUUCUUGGAACACACAUAUCAGAAGAGGUUUUGCCUUCCCACUGAACUCUUGACGGUGGAUAUUUGUGCAAGAGGCCUAUCCGGCACAGCUUGGCCAAGUCAACUUCUACUGCUAUUCAUCAGCGAAGAACAACCAAAUGGAAAUACUGAAGAAUGAAAUAAUUUUAAGUCAUAAGAACAACGCCUCUCUUUUGAAAGCACUGUACCUCACAGCCUGCUAGGGUGUUAUGCAAUUACCACAUACCAUUUAUUGCAGAGGGACACUUUAAGGCCUCUCUUAUUUUAAUAACUGGACAGAAAUGAAUUAAUGCUGACAUUGCCCAUAAACUGUGCUCAAUGUUAGUAUCAAUUGAUUUUGUCAUUCUGGUCCUUAUAUUAAAACUGGUAUGUUAAUCUGAACCAAUUUUUUAAAGAUAGGAUCUAACUAUUUUAUCUCACUGAGAACAUCCAUGUAAUGUUCUUCCGAAUAAUAAACUUUUUUUUA